GCGUAAAGCUGCGUACGCCAGCUGGCGUCGUGGAUGUUGUCAUGUCGCUGUUAGCAGCUGAGUCGUCGGAGUAAAUCAGCUUCUGUUGGACCGGCGGAUGAUAAUAAUGUGUUUUUAAAAACAAAUUAAUACUAUUUACCGAGUGGAAACAACUAACCGCUUCCACCACAUGUUCGCCAGCAUUUAACGGCACAGAGAAGGAGUUAGCCCGCAGAUAACCUAGCUCACUGGCUAGCUUGCGAGCUAACAGCUUAGCUGGCUCCUCCAGCUGAUGUUAGACAAAUAUUCCACCAACUGCAAUUUAUUACGGAGACUGGUGUCCUGGUUUCUCCUCAGUAUGGCGUCUUCCUUUAAGAUCCCGAAGAAGAAACACCCAACGGCUUCUGAAUCCGCCCCCCUGUACACGUCACCGCUGUCCCGCCUGCAGAGCGCCACCCCCGAAUUAAAGAGCUAUGGGAACCAGUACAGCAGAGCUGACAGGAUGCAUGCUGGGAGCUCAGCAGGCUCCUCAGUGAACAGAGAGAGCGCUCCUCUCUUCAGGGAAGUGGUCAAAACGCUGCUCGGACUUACAGCCAAUCAAAGAGAAGCCUCGGCAGCCAAUCGCAAAGGAGGACGGAGUGCCAAGUUGUCUGCUGCUUCUCCCUCAGUCGGGUGGCGCCCUAAAAGGGCUUCAGACCGCCAGCUGCCUCCUGAUGUGACCUCACAGCCUCCGUCUCCACCA
ensembl:lncRNA